rnacentral:lncRNA from 1 species
AGUGAUCACAACAAAGAAAAUGAAUGAAAGUGGAGACGUGGGCACGUAGAGGAAGAAAGAGUAAAUUUAAUGCAUGGCAUGCAGGAAACACGAGAGAGACAUAGUGAAUGUCCCAUAUUGUCUGGUCCAACCAAACCUUGACAUUUUAUCACAACACUAUCUCUCUAGUAACUAGCGUUCUUCGUAUUGGCGUUGUACUUUAUUAUAUACAUAUUGGCAAUCUACUUUAUUACAUUUUCAUAUUACAAUCAAACUAAAAUUAUAUAAUAUUGACUUUCAGUUUGUUAUAUAUAUAGUCAUUUUUUUGCAAUUGUAUCUGGAGGUACUAUUAUAAGUCUGAUUUUGUACUUUUAUAAGAUUAGAUUUCUCAUCUCGUCUAGCAACUUACUAUCCAUCUUCAUCGUUUUCUGCAAUUUUGUAUACAAUAUAUUUUUGUACAUUUAGUUAUUGCAUAUUAUAAUAAUCUUUGUCGGUUCAGCCCUAAACUCGGAUAUAUGCAUGUAUAUUGAGCAUCUUUUUGGUUUAGAAAGUAUAUAUAUUACCGUGUGUGGUUAAUUAAACUUACAUUUUAUAUGAUUGACAUGCGGUUUUCAUUAGGCCAUGUUAAA